rnacentral:lncRNA from 1 species
AUGGUUGUUUCUCUCUCUACAUCAAGUCCUGCAAAACCCAAAUCCAAGAAGAAUUCAGCGCUAGAUACGAAAAAGGUACCAUCAUGUAAUAAUACUGAUGAUGGAGAUUGAUGACGCCCUUUGAAAUAUCUGGUUUUGUAGUUGUCUUUGGAACACACGCUAAAGCGCCGUCUUGUUCAUCCUUUUGUGAUUUAAUUAAAUUCAUUUUCUUGCUCUAAAUUAUUCGGUAAUUUUCAAUUCAGAAGUCUAGGAGAACCCAAAUUGUUAAAAAUUAUGGUGAGGAGUUUGUUGGCACGAAGAUACAGGUUUGGUGGCUAAUGGACAAAAUGUAAGUAAUUAAUGUUGACGGCAUGCUUUCCAUUGUAAUUUAUAUUCCUGCUUAUAUUUUCCUUAACCAAAUAAUGGUUUCAUUCUCUGUUUCUUGAGCAUUGUAUUAAAUUGGGUUGCCCCAUGUCAUGGGAGUGAAUUAUCUUACCACGCCCCCAAAACAAACAUCCCAAGCUUCCGAACCAGGGGAAAAAAGUAAUGUGACGUUUAUGGACCAACUAGGUAGUAGUAU